UACAGGGGGUGCAAACGUUGCUCGGAAUCAUUGGGCGUAAAGCGCACGUAGGCGGUUCGUUAUGUCGGAUGUGAAAGCCCUUGGCUUAACCGAGGAAGUGCAUCCGAAACUGGCGAGCUAGAGUACGAAAGAGGAUCGCGGAAUUCCCGGUGUAGAGGUGAAAUUCGUAGAUAUCGGGAGGAACACCGGUGGCGAAGGCGGCGAAUCUGGGUCGAUACUGACGCGUGAGGUGGCGAAAGCGUGGGGAGCAACAGG
rnacentral:rRNA from 1 species